rnacentral:rRNA from 1 species
CAGCAGCCGCGGUAACACGGAGGGAGCGAGCGUUGUUCGGAAUCACUGGGCGUAAAGCGUGCAUGCGGCCCCUUCAAGUGGAAUUGUGAAAUGCCCUGGCUCAACCAGGGAACUGCAUCCCAAACUACGGGGCUUGAGUACAGGAGAGGAUGGGGGAAUUCCCGGUGUAGCGGUGAAAUGCAUUGAUAUCGGGAGGAACACCAGUGGCUAAGGCGCCCAGCUGGCCUGCUACUGACGCUCAGGCGCGAAAGCUAGGGGAGCAAACAGGAUUAGAUACCCUGGUAGUCCUAGCCGUAAACGGUGAGCACUAGGUGUGGGGGGCAUCUACCCCCCCUGUGCCGCAGCUAACGCAUUAAGUGCUCCGCCUGGGGAGUACGACCGCAAGGUUGAAACUCAAAGGAAUUGACGGGGGCCCGCACAAGCGGUGGAGCAUGUGGUUUAAUUCGAUGCAACGCGAAGAACCUUACCCAGAUUUGACAUGCAUUGGACCGCGGUGGAAACACACCUUCCCUCCACUUUUUGGUGGGCCGAUGCACAGGUGCUGCAUGGCUGUCGUCAGCUCGUGUCGUGAGAUGUUGGGUUAAGUCCCGCAACGAGCGCAACCCUUGUCCUUAGUUGCCAGCAAGUUACGUUGGGCACUCUAGGGAGACUGCCGCCGACAAGGCGGAGGAAGGUGGGGAUGACGUCAAGUCCUCAUGGUCCUUACAUCUGGGGCUACACACGUGCUACAAUGGUCGGUACAAAGGGUUGCAAUGCCGCGAGGUGGAGCCAAUCCCAUAAAGCCGGCCUCAGUUCGGAUUGUAGUCUGCAACUCGACUGCAUGAAGGCGGAAUCGCUAGUAAUCGCUGAUCAGCAGGCAGCGGUGAAUAUGUUCCCGGGCCUUGUACACACCGCCCGUCAAGCCACGAAAGUUGGCAGUACCUCGACCGUCGCUAUCCCUAACCGAAACGGGUUGCGUUCCUUCGAAGCUGCUGUCAACAAUCUGGGGCUAAGUCGUAACAAGGUAUCCGUA